rnacentral:rRNA from 1 species
AUAACCGGGAGAAAUCCCGACUAAUACCGCGUAACGCCGCGGGGCUGCAUGGCCCGGCGGCCAAAGGAAGCGAUUCCGGCGGGGGAUGGGCAUGCGGCGCAUUAGCUAGUCGGCGGGGUAACGGCCCACCGAGGCGACGAUGCGUAGGGGUUCUGAGAGGAAGGUCCCCCACACUGGUACUGAGACACGGACCAGACUCCUACGGGAGGCAGCAGUGAGGAAUAUUGGCCAAUGGGCGGGAGCCUGAACCAGCCAAGUCGCGUGAGGGAAGACGGUCCUAUGGAUUGUAAACCUCUUUUGCCGGGGAGCAACGGGGUCCUUGCGAGGGCCUAAUGAGAGUACCCGGAGAAAAAGCAUCGGCUAACUCCGUGCCAGCAGCCGCGGUAAUACGGAGGAUGCGAGCGUUAUCCGGAUUUAUUGGGUUUAAAGGGUGCGUAGGCGGGCUGUUAAGUCAGCGGUCAAAUGUCGGGGCUCAACCCCGGCCUGCCGUUGGAACUGGCGGCCUCGAGUGGGCGAGAAGUAUGCGGAAUGCGUGGUGUAGCGGUGAAAUGCAUAGAUAUCACGCAGAACUCCGAUUGCGAAGGCAGCAUACCGGCGCCCUACUGACGCUGAGGCACGAAAGCGUGGGUAUCGAACAGGAUUAGAUACCCUGGUAGUCCACGCAGUAAACGAUGAAUGCUAGCUGUCCGG